UACGGGGGGGGCAAGCGUUGUUCGGAAUUACUGGGCGUAAAGGGCUUGUAGGCGGCCAACUAAGUCCGACGUGAAAUCCCCAGGCUCAACCUGGGAACUGCGUCUGAUACUGGAUGGCUUGAAUUCGGGAGAGGGAUGCAGAAUUCCAGGUGUAGCGGUGAAAUGCGUAGAUAUCUGGAGGAAUACCGGUGGCGAAGGCGGCAUCCUGGACCGACAUUGACGCUGAGGAGCGAAAGCUAGGGGAGCAAACGGG
rnacentral:rRNA from 1 species